CAUGCAAGUCGAACGUGAUUUUUGUGGAAUUCUUUCGGGAAUGGAAAUGAAAUGAAAGUGGCGAACGGGUGAGUAACACGUGAGCAACCUACCUUACACAGGGGGAUAGCCGUUGGAAACGACGAUUAAUACCGCAUGAGACCACAGAAUCGCAUGAUAUAGGGGUCAAAGAUUUAUCGGCGUAAGAAGGGCUCGCGUCUGAUUAGCUAGUUGGAAGGGUAAAGGCCUACCAAGGCGACGAUCAGUAGCCGGUCUGAGAGGAUGAACGGCCACAUUGGAACUGAGACACGGUCCAAACUCCUACGGGAGGCAGCAGUGGGGAAUAUUGCACAAUGGGGGGAACCCUGAUGCAGCGACGCCGCGUGAGCGAAGAAGGUUUUCGAAUCGUAAAGCUCUGUCCUAUGAGAAGAUAAUGACGGUAUCAUAGGAGGAAGCCCCGGCUAAAUACGUGCCAGCAGCC
rnacentral:rRNA from 1 species